rnacentral:rRNA from 1 species
CAGUCGAGGGGCAGCAUGGUGUAGCAAUACACUGAUGGCGACCGGCAAACGGGUGCGGAACACGUACAGAACCUUCCUUCAAGCGGGGAAUAGCCCAGAGAAAUUUGGAUUAAUACCCCAUAGCAUAAUGGAGUGGCAUCACUUUGUUAUUAAAGAUUUAUCACUUGAAGAUGGCUGUGCGGCUGAUUAGGUAGUUGGCGGGGUAACGGCCCACCAAGCCUGCGAUCAGUAACUGGUGUGAGAGCACGACCAGUCACACGGGCACUGAGACACGGGCCCGACUCCUACGGGAGGCAGCAGUAAGGAAUAUUGGUCAAUGGACGAAAGUCUGAACCAGCCUUGCCGCGUGGAGGAUGAAGGUCCUCUGGAUUGUAAACUUCUUUUAUCUGGGACGAAAAAAGGUCUUUCUAGAUCGUCUGACGGUACCAGAUGAAUAAGCACCGGCUAACUCCGUGCCAGCAGCCGCGGUAAUACGGAGGGUGCAAGCGUUAUCCGGAUUCACUGGGUUUAAAGGGUGCGUAGGUGGGUUGGUAAGUCAGUGGUGAAAUCUUCGAGCUUAACUCGGAAACUGCCAUUGAUACUAUCAGUCUUGAAUAUUGUGGAGGUUAGCGGAAUAUGUCAUGUAGCGGUGAAGUGCUUAGAUAUGACAUAGAACACCAAUUGCGAAGGCAGCUGGCUACACAUAUAUUGACAC